AUACGUAGGGGGCGAGCGUUGUCCGGAAUGACUGGGCGUAAAGGGCGUGUAGGCGGCGGUGUAAGUCUGGAGUGAAAGUCCCGCAUUCAAUGUGGGAAUUGCUUUGGAUACUGCAGUGCUAGAGUGCGGAAGAGGUAAGUGGAAUUCCCAGUGUAGCGGUGAAAUGCGUAGAGAUUGGGAGGAACACCAGUGGCGAAGGCGACGUACUGGGCCGUAACUGACGCUGAGGCGCGAAAGCGUGGGGAGCGAACAGGAUUAGAUACCCUGGUAGUCCACACUGUAAACGAUGAAUACUAGGUGUGCGGGGACUGACCCCCUGCGUGCCGGCGUUAACACAAUAAGUAUUCCACCUGGGGAGUACUAUCGCAAGGUUGAAACUCAAAGGAAUUGACGGGG
rnacentral:rRNA from 1 species